rnacentral:rRNA from 1 species
CAGCAGCCACGGUAAAACGAAGGGUGCAAGCGUUACUCGGAAUUACUGGGCGUAAAGCGUGCGUAGGUGGUGGUUUAAGUCCGUUGUGAAAGCCCUGGGCUCAACCUGGGAAUUGCAGUGGAUACUGGGUCACUAGAGUGUGGUAGAGGAUAGUGGAAUUUCCGGUGUAGCAGUGAAAUGCGUAGAGAUCGGAAGGAACAUCUGUGGCGAAGGCGACUAUCUGGGCCAACACUGACACUGAGGCACGAAAGCGUGGGGAGCAAACAGGAUUAGAUACCCCUGUAGUCCCUGUCUCUUAUCC